GGUAGCGAAAUUCCUUGUCGGGUAAGUUCCGACCCGCACGAAUGGCGUAACGAUGGCCACACUGUCUCCUCCUGAGACUCAGCGAAGUUGAAAUGUUUGUGAAGAUGCAAUCUCCCCGCUGCUAGACGGAAAGACCCCGUGAACCUUUACUGUAGCUUUGCAUUGGACUUUGAACAGACUUGUGUAGGAUAGGUGGGAGGCUUUGAAGUGGGAACGCCAGUUCUCAUGGAGCCGUCCUUGAAAUACCACCCUGGUGUGUUUGAGGUUCUAACCUGGGUCCGUCAUCCGGAUCGGGGACCGUGCAUGGUAGGCAGUUUGACUGGGGCGGUCUCCUCCCAAAGUGUAACGGAGGAGCUCGAAGGUCGCCUAGGUACGGUCGGACAUCGUACUGAUAGUGUAAUGGCAUAAGGCGGCUUAACUGCGAGACCGACAAGUCGAGCAGGUGCGAAAGCAGGACAUAGUGAUCCGGUGUUCUGUAUGGAAGGGCCAUCGCUCAACGGAU
rnacentral:rRNA from 1 species